UAUUAUACUAGCAGGUAUAAAAAAACUUGAAUUACUAAUAGAUAUAUUCUUUAAACUUAAAGAAUUUGGCGGCGAUUUAGUCUUGUUAGAGGAACCUGUUUUUGAAUCGAUACACCACGUGGAAUUUUACUCAUUUUAUAAGUUUAUAUACCGUCAUUCGCAGAUAACUUUUAAAAAAUAAGUUGUUAUAAUUUAUGCUAUAAUAAGUUAAAUUAGAUCAAGGUGUAGCCUAUAAAUGAGUUAAAAUGGGUUACAAUAAAUUUUAUUUAAACGGAAACCGGCAGAGAACUCUGUAUUAGAAGGAGGAUUUAAUUGUAAUGUAAGUUUAAUAAGCUAAAAAGAUAUAAGCUCUAGAUCGUGUACAUAUC
rnacentral:rRNA from 1 species